rnacentral:rRNA from 1 species
UGGGGAAUAUUGCACAAUGGGCGAAAGCCUGAUGCAGCAACGCCGCGUGAGUGAUGAAGGCCUUCGGGUUGUAAAGCUCUGUCUUUUGGGACGAUAAUGACGGUACCAAAGGAGGAAGCCACGGCUAACUACGUGCCAGCAGCCGCGGUAAUACGUAGGUGGCAAGCGUUGUCCGGAUUUACUGGGCGUAAAGGAUGCGUAGGCGGAUUUUUAAGUGAGAUGUGAAAUACCCGGGCUUAACUUGGGUGCUGCAUUUCAAACUGGGAAUCUAGAGUGCGGGAGAGGAGAAUGGAAUUCCUAGUGUAGCGGUGAAAAUGCGUAGAGAUUAGGAAGAACACCAGUGGCGAAGGCGAUUCUCUGGACCGUAACUGACGCUGAGGCAUGAAAGCGUGGGUAGCAAACAGGAUUAGAUACCCUGGUAGUCCACGCCGUAAAACGAUGAGUACUAGGUGUAGGAGGUAUCGACCCCUUCUGUGCCGCAGUUAACACAAUAAGUACUCCGCCUGGGGAAGUACGAUCGCAAGAUUAAAAACUC